UACGGGGGGAGCAAGCGUUGUUCGGAUUUACUGGGCGUAAGGAGCGCGUAGGCGGAAACGCCAGUCCGGCUUGAAAGCCCCCGGCUCAACCGGGGAGAGUGGCUGGAAACUGCGUUUCUUGAGGGCGAGAGAGGAGGGUGGAAUUCCUGGUGUAGCGGUGAAAUGCGUAGAGAUCAGGAGGAACACCCGUGGCGAAGGCGGCCCUCUGGCUCGACCCUGACGCUGAGGCGCGAAAGCGUGGGGAGCGAACGGG
rnacentral:rRNA from 1 species